UACAGAGGUCUCAAGCGUUGUUCGGAUUCAUGGGGCUUAAAGGGUGCGUAGGGGGCGCGGUAAGUCGGGUGUGAAAUUUCGGAGCUUAACUCCGAAACUGCAUUCGAUACUGCGGUGCUUGAGGACUGGAGAGGAGACUGGAAUUCAUGGUGUAGCAGUGAAAUGCGUAGAGAUCAUGAGGAAGACCAGUGGCGAAGGCGGGUCUCUGGACAGUUCCUGACACUGAGGCACGAAGGCCAGGGGAGCAAACGGG
rnacentral:rRNA from 1 species